rnacentral:lncRNA from 1 species
UGUUGUAUUUUUGUUGAUUUGAUGCGAUGCGGUUCAAUCUCUAGAAUUUGAUCCUCUGAUUCUCUCUCAACUGUAUGUCUACGCUUGAUUUGGGGGAAGCGGAGCACGUGAUGUUCUUGAAGUUUGUUGAACGUCUACGCUUGAUUUUGGAGAAGCGGAGCACGUGAUGUUCUUGAAGUUUGUUGAACGUCUACGCUUGAUUUGGAGAAGCGGAGCACGUGAUUUUCUUCAAGUUGGUUGAAUGCUUACGCUUGAUUUGAGGAAGCGGAGCACGUGAUGUUCUUGAAGUUUGUUGAACGUCUACGCUUGAUUUGGAGAAGCGGAGCACGUGAUGUUCUUGAAGUUUGUUGAAACGCUUGAUUUGGAGAAGCGGAGCACGUGAUGUUCUUGAAGUUUGUUGAACGUCUACGCUUGAUUUGGAGAAGCGGAGCACGUGAUUUUCUUCAAGUUGGUUGAAUGCUUACGCUUGAUUUGAGGAAGCAGAGCACGUGAUGUUCUUGAAGCUUGUUGAACGUCUACGCUUGAUUUGGAGAAGCGGAGCACGUGAUGUUCUUCAAGUUGGUUGAAUGCUUACGCUUGAUUUGAGGAAGCGGAGCACGUGAUGUUCUUGAAGUUGGAGUCUUGGGAGAAAGUUUGUAUCUUCAAAACAGCUUCAAUCUUCGAGGGUGGUCAACUUCAGAAGUUAGGGAGUCUUCUAGCUUUUGGAAGAAUUCUCUUCUAGCUUUUGGAAGAAUUCUCUCUGGAUCUUCUAGAGUCAAAAUUUUCCAACCUCUACAAAUGAGAAGAAUUCCUCUAUUUAUAGAGUUUACUGGUGGGCUUUAUGGGUUUGAAUCUGGUUGGUCCAUGGACCAGACCCAUGGGCUCAACCAUAUGGACUUAGGUUAUAUUUAGUCUUUGGGCUCAAUUAAGCUUUUUUUUUUUUGGCUUAAUUGAACUUAGUCCAAGUAAAUAAUAUUUAAUUGAACUAAAAUGAUUAACUUAAU